UACGUAGGGUGCGAGCGUUGUCCGGAAUUAUUGGGCGUAAAGAGCUCGUAGGCGGCUUGUCGCGUCGGAUGUGAAAGCCCGGGGCUUAACUCCGGGUCUGCAUUCGAUACGGGCAGGCUAGAGUUCGGUAGGGGAGAUCGGAAUUCCUGGUGUAGCGGUGAAAUGCGCAGAUAUCAGGAAGAACACCAGCGGCGAAGGCGGCACUCUGGGCCGGUACUGACGCUGAGGAGCGAAAGCGUGGGUAGCAAACAGG
rnacentral:rRNA from 1 species